CUACCCUGAGACCUGAGUAAUUCACCUUCAGUGUUCAUCUCCCCAGGGAGUUCUGGGACAAAGCUUUCCUUUGGGGUGAAGUGAAAAACAUGCCUGUCUUUUUUUAGUUUUAGUCCUUUCUUCAGUGUGUUCAGGAGGAGCUGAAUGGCUGGUUUAGUGUUUCUGGGUCAGACACAGGUGUGUUCAUCGGUGCUGGGAUGCCUGACACGCGGGAAGAAUGAUGUGCAGAACUCCAGUGACCUCAGAAGGUUAAUUAAUUACUUCAUUAUACUAUAACUGUAUUACACUAUAUUACACACUAACAGGAACUAUCACUAACUAACGACAUCACUAAUAAGAAAAACCUGUGACACUCUGCAGAGAGUCCCGACACACACAUGAAUCCAGUUGGUCAACAAAUCCAAACAACCAUCACCAGAAUCCAAUCAAGCAAUCACCUUGGGUAAGCAAUCUCCAUACCACAUUCCACAUUGGCACAAACACAGGAGCAGCCAAUGAGAUAAGAAUUGUUUUAUUUCUCUUUUCUCUGCUUCUCUCACAACUUCUCUUAGGAGAAAUCCUGAGAAAGGUAAGUGUGUCUCUGUUCAGAGGGCAUGUGAAUACCACAUGUGUUUAGUUACACAUGUGAAUAUUGUGCUUAGAAGUAUCUUGUACUUUUAAGUAGCUGGGGUUUUAAGUCUUUGUCCAUUUUUUACCUUUUUCCCCCUUGCUAAUGUAAUAACAGUACUUCCUAAACCCUAUCCUUUUCCUAGGUACUGACCUCAUCAUCUCUGGGUGCUACUCCAAUAAUAAAAAAAAUAGACUUGUGGGUUAUGGGAUCCUUUAUAGACCUGCAUGGAACUAAUCUGGCUCGGCUGGAAAGGGUCAUGUAAACCUUCUGCAACUGUUAGAGUCUGUGUGGUUUCACACCCAACAAAUGUCAAAGCAGAACUUAGCUCCAACAGCCAAGUUUCAUCUAUGUUUGGUUUCAUCCAUAAAAGAACCCACCAAAUUCCACAUCAGCCAUUUCAGACUUGCAAGAAACCACCCAGCUUCAGUGAACAGGUCAAGAAUCUGCUCUUACUUUACAUAGAAACAUUGAAGCUAAAAGCACAACUCCAACUUGUCCUCUGUAGUUAUUUGAACAGCCUUCACUUGCAAAGUUUUGGAGAAUGAAAGGAGUCUCUCUGGUGAAGAUGAUGAGACAACACAAGAUCCUCAGCUUGAAGAGGAGAGCAGAAGUGGUGAAAGCCUUUUCACUGGAAAGCUUUGUGAUGACACCCACUCUGGUACAACCCUCCAGAGCAGCCCUUCUCAGGCCACAAGGGAUCUCACAGAAGGUUAAGACAACUCACAUAUCUAAGAUCAGGGCAUGCCUGCAAGCUUUGGCAGAUGAAAACAGAGCAUGGAGAAGUACAGAAUGCUUGGCAGAUGUGUAUUUUCUGCCAAGAAUUCUGUAAUUCUGGUUACCAACCGAAAGCAAACAAACAUAUCAUCAACUAAGGAAGAUCAGACCAUGCUUCUAACAGUCAAUACUAGUGACUAGAUUUUUUUUUUUUUCUGGUUCAUUUAAAUUUGACAGUAGAAGUCAAAAGUUAGCUUAAUUCCUGAAUAUGAUGCCUUGAGAAUGUAAUGUAAAGCUCACAGAAUAUGACAGACCCCCUGCAAAUGUAAGUCAAUUGCCCAAUGCCAGUGGAUUUAUUCCCUAAGAACAAUUUACAGCUGAACCACUGUGUCCUUAAAACAUUCAGACCUCACCUAGACUCUCAGAUUUUGAUGUUCUUUCAAAAAAUAUCCAGUUCCCUUGUUGACCCUAACAUGCUUCAGUUUUUGGCAUUCAUUUCACAAGGGUGUCACCCUGACGCCUUGACCACCACUAACAACCAAAGCACCAUGUGAGUCAACACCUCUGCACAGAUGAAAUUAAAUGUUAAGCCUUUUUUCAUACAGUUUUAAUGAGAUCUUAUGGCUGACCACACCCAGCUGUAUUAGUUGAUGGAAGCACAAGAUUCACCCAAACCAUUGAAUGUAAGAGGUAUCAC